GCAGAGGCCACUCUUAGGUGGCCUAUAUUUCUAGUGCUUUCUAGAGCCCACAUGGUUAGGGAGGAGGGAGGCUCUAUGAAGAGACGUGUGCAGUCAUCAUGUCAUCAUGGCUAAAACCGAGGACAGAUGCUGCAUCUUACGCCACACUCGAUGGGCAAGCAGCAGGAGUCCAGGCAGUGAGACCUGGGGAAGGCUGCGUGUUUGGUCUCACACACAGGCUGUCAGUAAUAGUGAGGUAUUAAUGCAUCCCUCAGGACUAAAGAUGCACAACUCCUUUUUCAAUGCACAGGUAACCCCCUGAGAAUUCUGAAGAUCUUCAUCAACUCAGUUUCUGAGGAUCACUUCGGUUGGGGAGCAGACGCCACCUGCCAAAACAGCCUGUUAAGCAUACCCAUGUAUGCCCCCCCACCCGCCUCCAGAGUCCAGGGUUCUCAGGGCUGGAGAGAACCUGCUGGACUCGGUGUCCUGGACCAAGUCCCUGGGGAGAUGACGGUACUGUGUCUGCAGCUACCCGCAAGGACGGCACACGCUGGAUCCACCUGGGCACGUCAUCCCUCGGCCCACCAGGAAGGACAAAUGGGGCUCCGGUCCCGUCCAUAGCCCACAGGACACCCUGAACGCCCUGGACUCUACCUCCCAGGAUGGAGACACACAGCCGAGGGACCAGCACCCCCAGUUGACGGGAGAGGCAGGGUCCGGAGAAGUAGGCACGCUGAGAGCUGGAGGCCCAGCAGGUCCCGGACCCCGUUAUUCUACCAAAGCCCUCUCCCUUGGUGCAGAGUACAAGCAAAGAAAAGAAGUCAAGCUCCGGUUUUGAAGGAAUUACAUGUCAGGACAUCACCCUUAGGUAGACAGAUUGACAUCUAUUGUUUCCGUGGGAAUAAGUGCCGACGUGUAGGGAGCCACAAGGGCCAGCCUCCACAGGCCUGGGUGUCAUCCUUGGGACUGUCCCCAGCAUGCUGUCACAGUCUCCUGGGAGAUCACGGACCACUGUGAACGGUCGUUCCCUAAACCCUACUGGGAUCCAACUGGAGUCACCUGGUCCGCAGGAACCUCAGCAGCUCCGCAUGUGGCCGCUUCAGCAAAGUGCAAGACCAACCCAGGAGUGCUCGAGUCCCCUCCAACACCACCACACCCAGGUCCGCCCUGGAACAGCAAGCCAGGAUGCAGAAAGGAAGAAGGCAAAGGGGAAGAAGGUGGCCUCAGCCCCUGCUGUUGUGAAGAAGCAGGAGGCCAAGAAGGUGGUCAAUCCCCUGUGUGAGAAAAAUGUUGGCAUCAGACAGGACAUCCAGCCCAAAGGGACCUCACCUGCCUUGUCAAAUGGCCACACUACAUCCGGCUGCUGUGGCAAAGGACUAUUCUCUUUAAACGUCCGAAAGUGCCUCCCAUGAUUAACCAGUUUGCCCAGGCCUUGGACCACCACACAGUGACUCACCUGGUUCCACCAGACCACAGAUGCAGACCAGAGGCAAAGAAAGAGAAGAUGCAGAGGUCAUUGGCUGGGGCUGAGAAGAAGGCUGAGGGCAAAGGGGAUGUCACCACUAAGAGGCUCCUUGUCCUUUGAGCUGUCCACUGUCACCACCUUGGUGGAAAACAAGAAGGCUCGGCUGGUAGUGAUCGCACAGGACGUGGAUCCCACUGAGCGGGCUGUCCUGUGUCGUACGAUGGGGUUCCCCACUGCACUCUCAAGGGGAAGCCAAGCUGGGGUGUCUGGUCCACAGGAGGACCUCCCCACAGUUGCCUUCACACAGGUGAACUCGGAAGACAAGGGAGGCCUGGCUAAGCUGGUGGAAGCCCUCAGGACCAAUGACAAUGACAGAUAUAAGGAGAUCCGCCACCACUGGGGAGGCUACGUCCCAGGUCCGAAGUGGGUGGCUUGCAUCGCCACCGUGGAAAAAGCAAAGGCUAAAAAACUGGCCACCCAACUGGGCUGAGUGGACGCUGUUGAAUUUUCUGUAUAUAAAAGGAAUAAAAGGUUCUCUUUCAAAAAAAAUUGUGGUGGU
ensembl:lncRNA